CAACAGGGAACUGUCUGCUGCAGAAGGACAAGGAAUCCACCAGUAGCUGCAGGGCUGAGCUGCGGCUCAGCAGGGAGGUUGUCCAACACUUUAUUAUCAAUCAGGGCCACAAAAAUCAAUGGAGUUGUGCUGUGGAACCUGUGCUCAUCACAGACAGGAGAAAAGCAGCUGUCAGGGCCCUGUGCAACCACGAGAUGGAAGAGCUACAGGGAGCAGCAGCAGCCUGCAGUGACAGCACACCAGGAAGCUGCAGCAGGUCAGGGCCCUGAUUGCUGCUGUAGAGCUGCAAAUUCCCCUCUCUGCCCAACUGGUGACAGUCUCUGGGGCUCUGCCAGAGCAGCAGGACAACCACAGGACACCUUCCUUCCCUCACCAAGCUUAUGAGACUAAGCCCAGGAGAACUGAGCAAGACCUUAACGCACCCCCUGAGCAUCCUUGGGCAAAGUUUUUAAUCUCUUUGGCCUCCAUGUCCAUUCUCCCAGCUCCCUGUGCUUUUUCCCUGCUGCUGAGGGCUGGUGGGAUGUUAAUUUAAGGGAGCUGUGUGGUGAUACUGUGGCUAAAAGCUUCACAGAAAGGCUGUAAAUGUAAAGAUGCAUUUGCAACACAGACAGAACCCAUGUUCCCAUCACUGGAAAAGCACAUGGAGGAUGAGCAUCUCUUGCUGUGAUCUCAUGUCUCUAUACUGAGACAGAGGAAGGAAUAAAAGUCUCAGGUUUAGAGCUGCCUGUGCACAUCUGUAAUUAAGCUGCAACGUCACAAAAGCUGGUACCAACACCCUCAGCAGAGAGACAACAAGGAAAAAGAGGAACUAUCCCCAGAUGACUUUGUUAUCUCCUGAAAGGCUGGAAAAGACCAGGCCAAAGUUUUAAAGACAAAAAAAAAAACCUCAUAUCCUCCAGAAAACUGGAAUGAUUUUAUUUCCUGUCUGAACAUGAGAAACUUGUGAAUUGUACUAAAUACAUCACUGAAUGAUGAAAAGGCAGGAGAGGAACAUCUGGAAGAAGAAGUGUCCAGCUUCAGUUCCCUUCUACACUUGCAGAGCUGUUCCCAGCCUGCUGCUCCCCUUCCCCACCAGGGAUCUCAGGGAUGCUGGUGCUGCCCAACCCUCCAUCUCUGAGGAAAUCUGAAUGCUUUGGACUGAUCUGCUGGCUCAGAAGAUGCCCCUGCUCAUCUUUCACCUCAGUGUGGGUGAGCUUGCUCCUGGAGGUGUCUCUGAGCCUGGCUGGCAGCACUGCCUGUUCCUUUGUCUUGCUGUGUGAGAUGCUGCUGCAAUGCAGUGCACAGCUGCAGUGACCUUUACCCAACUCCCAGCAUCUGCAGCACCCAGAGGCUCCCAAACUGCUCCAGCUGAGCAAGGAGGAGGGUGAAGUCCUCACACACAGCCCCAGAACCCAUGGUGUGUCUUUGGAGGAGACCCGAGGAGGCAGUUCCAUUUAUCAGAAAACAUUUCAACGUGGAUUGCACUAUCAAUCUGCCUGACAGCAUCUCCAGCAGCUCCUUGACACCGUGCCAGCAGCAGAGCUGGGUUACCUCUGGGCCAAGGCUGCUGCAACACCUGCUUUUCCUACUUCCAGCAUUGGAUGAACCAUCUGCAGCCAAUGCAACCCUGUUUGGGUUGGUUUUGCUGCUGUUGUUUUUGCAGAGUGGGGGCAAGAAAUCCAUCAGCAAUCCUCCCCUGCUCUCGACAGCUCAACAGAUGGCCCAGGUCCUCUGCUCCCAGCUGAUGCAGAUGCUUGAGAAGAUCAAGGAAAAUUGAUGGAAUGAGCACCAAGCCUGUUCCAGAACACUCAGGGCAGGGUGGUCUCCACACUGGGAUGUGCUGAACAGCAAAGCCCACCUUGCCCUGCUGAAGUCAAAUGCAUUUCAGCCACACAGAAACCCCAGUCUCACUUUCACUGCCAUCCCUUGGUCAUCAUGCUAUGGAAAAAGGACAAAAGCAGCACUGGGAGGCUGGGAUCCUCCCAGCAUUCUUGCUUCUGUCAGGCCUUUCCCAGCCUAGAGAACAGAAUAUAUUUCAAUUAGAGAGAGAUGAUAAUUUUUGGUGCACAGCCCCCAGCACAGAGGUUUUCCAGCUCUGUGGGCAAGCACUGUUAACUUGAUUAGAGAUGGAGCAAAGGCUCUGUGCUGCAGCCACAGUGGAACAGGACAGUAAUAAAGGGCACUGCUGUAUGCAGGAAACAAUCAGAUGGGUUUUACAACUAUAAAACUUUAAUUUCAUACGAGGAUUUCUUUUAUAACAUCAUGAUGUGGUAGCCAGGACUCACCUGUGUCCCUGAACUGCCUUAAUGAAGAGUGAUGGUGAUGUUUCCUUUCACAGCAGCCAUGUCUUACUCUCAUUUUUGGCUCCAUUUGCCCAUGCUCUCACCUAAGCUCCAGUUUGGCUUUCUAGAGCAGACUGCCCAAAGUGAAAUUCCCAGUGGGCAGAAUUCCAAAGCUGCAUUUUGACUAAUUAAGUGAUAUCAGGAAAGCUCUAAAUGUGCACAUAAAAACUGGCAAGCAAAGUGCUUCUAAUGAUGAGAGAAUUGCUGUGCAGGGAGGCCCAGCUGCAGCCUUGAGUCACAAGCCCUGUAUUUUUUCAAAAUUGUCAAUGCCAAGAUGUUCAAAAGUGGAACCAAGGAUGUGAGGGGGAAAAGAAGGUAAAAAGCCACGAGUUUGCACCCAAAGGAAACUGCUGCCCUGGCCAUGUGAAGGACACAGAGCUCCUGUUUCCCAGGAGCUGUCUGAUUCUAUCUGACCAUGCUGAAGAAUUAACACAAAGAUCCUGCAGCCAGAGCCUUCAGGCCAUGCCCAUCUCCACAUCAGAGCAAUGGCACUGUGAUAAUGAUGGACAGCUCUCAAACUCCUCUUCCUGAUCCCAUUUCACUUGAGGGUUGGGCUUAAACUCUGAAGCACAAGGGGGUUUUCACCUUUGUUUUUAUAUCACUUUUUGCAUAUGCUGUAGAAAUUCUUGACUCUCAUAAGUAAAUUCAAUAUUUCUGAGCAUUUCUUGCAUCAGAAAUUCCUGUAGCAGGGAGUUCCACAGAAUCAGCUGAACUAGAGUCACCUUUCUUUGUGAUGGCUUGAACUCACAAAAAAGCCAAAUUAAGUUGCAACUGCUCACUGCAGUGAAAGCCUUUGGGGGCACACACACUACUGGCCUGCCUGAUUUCAAAGGGAAAGCAGACCCUCAGCUGAUCCAGAAUGCCUGAGCAGCACAGGGAUGCAUGCUGGAAUGGCAGUGGGUCUUUGGUAUUUGCAUUUUGAAGGAGUUACAAGACAAGUCUAUCUGGCCUGUCAGCCACUUCCUCGGCGUGCUGCGACUCCACGGUGCAGCAAGGACAGCUAAUCCCUCAGUGGAGCUGGGAUCAGCUUCCUUGCCUCCAGCCUGCAGUCAAAGCAGGAGCCCAGACACUGACUGAGCUGUGUGCUGUAAUUCAAUAUGCAGUAUCUGGUUCAUGGGCUCAUCUCUCACCUCAACACAGCGUUGCAACUUUCUGAAAACAUCGCCGGCAAUUAUUUUUCCGUCUUCAGAUCGGGUUUUGUGAGAUCCACUACAGCUAAAGGGACAGCUGGUCUGCACAAAGACCUCUGAAAAAUGCAUGGAAGUGGACAUGGGCAAUGAGGAGAGGGCUGCUCCCACAUUUCAGCACUGAAACAUCACACACCUGGCUGCUCCCUCUCGCUGUCUCACCUUCCCCCAGCAGGCUCUCCAAGGAGGCGCCGAGCACAAAAGGAGACUUCAAAAAAAAAGAAAAGUUUUCUUUGUCCUCUUAAGGAAACGUUUAAUGAUUGCCUUUACCCCACUUUCAACCUGGAGUGCCUGCUCUUUAUUCUCUAGGCAGGUGCUGAGAGAUGAGGCUUUGGUGAGCAGCCUGAUUAAAAACCAGUAUCAGAUGUUGGGAGACAAUGUGUAAUACGACAACCAGCACUCACAGCAUCAUGUGAGAAAUAUAAUUAAAAAGAUUGCUCUGUGA